CUCUCACUAAAAACAUAAUGUCACCGCCUUUUCAUUUGUUGCACUCACAAACUUCAGUCAUGGUCUCUGCAACUUGCCUAGCAACAUCAGUCAUAUUCAUGGAUGGACAUUUAACACUAUCAAAGGCUUCAAAUAUCAAUAAUCUGAAUAUGUACCAUUAUACUCAAUAUUACUUAUACUUAGUGGAAAGGAAAUAUCCAAAGUUUAGUUAUAUUUGGAAGUAAAUAAAUAAAAUUGUAACCAAAUAUAGAUAUCUAGUGAGCUUAGAAAAAAAAAUCAUUCAGAAAGAAGAAUGGUCUUUACUUGAAAAGAUCAAGACCAUGCUAAUUAUGUUCCAGAAAGUAUGAAAUAUAUAUGGGUAAUUUAUCAUAUCAGGCCAUCCCAGUUGUGCAAAGACUAGUGCGUAAUUACAGAAGGAAAAUGAAUCUCGAAAUCAUAAAUUAGUAUCAUGCUUAUUCAUAAAUGGUAAUGUUGUCAGAAAAAAGAGUAAAAUACUAUCGAAGAGAAUAUAUAGCUCCCAUAGACUCUGCAGACAAAAAAUACAAGUGAGAAGAAUGAUACAGAUCAAAAGAGGAAAUUGGUUGAAAGGGAUGACAUAGAGAAACUUAAUACCAAGAGUUGUGCAUCACAAGAAGAAAAUUUUAAGCCUUAUACCCUGAAAAACACUUGAAAAAUAUCAUUAUUACAUCUUGAAAAUGUUUAACAAUUUACCUAUAUUAACAUUUCACUCUGAAAUAUAUUACACAUACGACUACCAUUGACAAUAAGCACACCAACAGUAGCUUAAGAACUUUUGGUCUACUACGUUGAAUUUAAAAUUUAAAAUUUUUCUUUUGAUGUAGUUAAUAAGAAGCUCCACUCCAAUCAGUAUCAUUAAAGAAUUAGUGUCACACAACUAUUUAUAAUGAUAUACUUUAAUAAUAAGAUGUCAUAACCAUCAUUUAGAAUUUUCCAGGUGAGAAAAGUAUUUACUCAAAUGCUAAAAUUUAAGAAAUUAGGAGGGCCCUUAAGUUACAAUUGCAAACAGUGAAGGGCCUCGACGGUUCGAGGUAAUAUAGGACUAUAGAAGACACUGUGAUGGAGAUGAAUCUCAUCUUUGCUAAAGUAUUUUUGAAGAAAAUUAUAAGAGAAGAUGAACUCUUUAUAGAGUUUAAAACACUUGCAUUAUCAAACUUAUCAAAGAGAAAAAGAAUGAUAUUCAUUUUGAUCUUGUUUCGACACCAUAAAAAUCUUUCUUAGAAACUGUUUGAGCAAUUUCACAGUAUGAAGUGUAGAAUAUUGAUUUACUACUUCAAAAAUAAUUUUUAGUGACAUUUAAUUAAUGACAAUAGCUUAAUUACUGUCAACUAAAUAUGUAUUUUUAGUGGCAAUUAAUGCUCUUUGUAAAUGUCUCUAAAGCCUAUAGCGACAUUGGAUCCAAUAGCAAUUAACUAAUGCCGGUAAAAUCUUUAACAUUCUUUGUUAAUAUAUAUAUUCAUUGCCGCUAAAAGUUAUUUUUGUUAUAGUAUCUUUCAAGUAUUGCAUAUUUUUCUUCAAAUACAUUUUAAUAUUCAGUGAUUAAAUCAAUGCAAAGUGAAAAAUAUCCAAACCUAAGUUUCAGAGUGUAUUGUACAAACUUUGAAACAUUGUUUGGUGGGGAAGAUAUAAUUUUUUAUCAAGUAAAUGUUAUACUUAAGGGGUCAUUUGUUAACUGACUAAGCCAUUAUCAUUCUCUUAAAUUAGAAAUACAGAAAAUUCUAAGAAACCUCAAAUACAAUUUUUGAGAUUUACAUAUAGAAGAGAAGAAGAUUACCAAGUGAAGACUCUCAUACUAUAUAGUAGUCGGCAAGGUCAUCAAAGCUUCCUUUUAUGUUAGUGUCAUUCUGUCCAGAAAUCUCUUUACUGUUAAAUAUGAUAAUAUGGGAGAAACCUUUCACUUAAAGAAAUUAUCUUUUAAAAGAAAUUUGGGAGAAGUACAUACUCCAUAAACUUUUAUGCAAAAAAAAGUAAAAGUUGCAAGACACUUGUAACAUUUCAUUCAUAGAGAGAGAGUAAAAAGAUAAAAUAAAUACACACCAUAAAAGAGAGAAAAAAACAUAAAAAGGAUGGUGAAAGUCUUCUAUAUUAUUAGUGAUUUUUUGUAAUAAUAUCCUCAAUAUUUUUUUGCGUAUCAACCAUGGUGCUGCACAAAAUCAAGUUAAUGCGAUAGAUUUUUCUGACGUGUAAAAUGUCAGCUUCUACUGAAUCUUUCUUGCAGUCAAUUUUUUUAUAAGGAUAGUGUUCGUACCAAUUUUUGUACACCUCUUGUAGUCUUGUUAUUUUCUAUUCAAAGAAAAAGUGAAAAAAAAGCCAAACGCCAAAAAAGAAAAAUGAGUACUGAUAAAUAUAGUAAUACUCAAAGUUACAUAGUUGACCAAAAUAAAGAAAAAUAAUAGCCACAAAAAAUAAUUAAUAGCUAAUACCUUGCCAGGUUUGUGGAAGAUGAUACUAAUAGACAACAUAGUAGCCCCACAUCUUGAAUAAUAGAUCCAAAAUCACCAAGAUAAGAUAAAUUGAUAUUCUCCCAAAAGAUUUUUACUCUGUUGAUGAUACAGAUUAUCUUGCUGCAACCCGAAAACAAAAAUGACCAGGGAAACUUUGAAAUAAGUUAAUUGAGGCAUAUUAUCAAACAACCUAGAUGCACAAUUCACUUAAAAAUUUAAGGCAUAGGCAUUCUUGAUAUUUUACAUUUUUGUAAGACCUCUAACUUUUGCACUAAUUAAUUGGCUAUAAAAAUUAAAUUCAUCAAAGAAACGCAAUGCAUGUACAAAUCAAGUAGUUAGUAAUAUGCAUGUAGAAAUCUUAGCUAGAAAUUAUAUCUAAAAGAAUAAAUAAUUAAGAUACACAUACUAAAAUUGCGACUACUUUUAAUUAGUGAAUCUCAAAGAAUUGAAGAGACCAGCAAGAAGAAAGUCGAAAGAAUUAAUUUAAGCAAACAUCACAGAGGAAGAAUUGGGAUGCACCUAGUACAAUAUUACCCAUAGAAUUGUACUACAGUAUAAAGAAGGAAGAAGAAAGAGAAGUACAGAAGAAAUUAAAAACUUACCCACAUAAAUUUGAUGGGUUGUACCACUGAAGGAGAGAGAGUGAUGUAUAACAUUGGGGUUAUUUGAGAAAGGCAGAAUGAUCCGGUGGACCCUUGUACUUGUAUCUGUUUGUAUUGUGAACUCUUCUACUUAUCCUUUUGUU
rnacentral:lncRNA from 1 species